UACGUAGGGUGCAAGCGUUGUCCGGAAUUACUGGGCGUAAAGAGUUCGUAGGCGGUUUGUCGCGUCGUUUGUGAAAACUCACAGCUCAACUGUGAGCCUGCAGGCGAUACGGGCAGACUUGAGUACUGCAGGGGAGACUGGAAGUUCCUGGUGUAGCGGUGAAAUGACGCAGAGUAUCAGGAGGAACACCGGUGGCGAAGGCGGGUCUCUGGGCAGUAACUGACGUGGAG
rnacentral:rRNA from 1 species